rnacentral:rRNA from 1 species
AUGGCUAUAAGUACAUUUGCAAGUUUGCUUGCCAAUAAGCCACAUAAGAAGGAUGAAUGGGAGAGACUGCAAGAUUCCGUUGGUACUGGUCCUUCGCUUGAUAAUGAUGGGAACUUAAAAGUGAUGAAAGAUAUACUAUUACUUAGUUACUGGGAUCUUCCACAUCAUUUGAAGACUUGCUUGUUGUACUUGUGUAUAUAUCCAGAGGACUGGGAAAUCAAGUGUAAAGAACUGAAAUGGAAAUGGAUGGCCGAAGGAUUCCUUGAUAGACAAUGGGGACGUUUGGAUGAGGUAGCAGAGAACUGUAUCAAUGAACUUGUUAAUAGAAAUAUGAUCCAGCCAACUGAUAUUGAUUAUGAUGGUACUGUGAAAUAUUGUCGAGUCCAUGAUAUGGUGCUUGACCUUAUCAUAUCUUUAUCAGAUGAAGAGAAUUUUGCCAUUGUUUUUAAUGGCCGUAUCUGCAAUUCUUUUCCAAGAAAGAUUCGUCGUCUCUCCAUGCAAUCGAUUGGCAAAGAGCAUAAUGGGGCAGCCUAUGCAGUUACAGAAGCCAAGUUACAUCUUCGCUCAUUGACUAUGUUUUGGGAAGUUCAGAUACCUUAUAUUGUUGACUUUCCUGCUUUGCCGGUGUUGGAUCUUGGCGAAACCAAGAUACAUGUUCGCUCACUGACUAUAUUUGGGCAAGUUAAGCAGAUACCCCAUCUUGUGGACUUCCAUGCUUUGCGGGUGUUGGAUCUUGAAGAUUGUGAUUGGUUGGAAAACAAGCAUGUAAAACACAUAGGAAGUUCACGUCAGCUGAGGUAUUUGCACAUUUGCAGUGGUACAAUUACUGAGCUUCCUAGUGGAGUCGGAAAGCUGCAGCACUUGGAGACACUCGAUUUGAGAGGCUGA